GUGGCGAGUGGCGGACGGGUGAGUAACGCGUAGGAAUCUGCCUUAUAGAGGGGGAUAACCCGGGGAAACUCGGGCUAAUACCGCAUAAUCUCUACGGAGCAAAGUGGGGGAUCUUUGGACCUCACGCUAUUAGAUGAGCCUGCGUCGGAUUAGUUUGUUGGUGGGGUAAUGGCCUACCAAGACUACGAUCCGUAGCUGGUCUGAGAGGACGACCAGCCACACUGGGACUGAGACACGGCCCAGACUCCUACGGGAGGCAGCAGUGGGGAAUAUUGGACAAUGGGGGAAACCCUGAUCCAGCAAUGCCGCGUGUGUGAAGAAGGCCUUCGGGUUGUAAAGCACUUUCAGUAGGGAAGAAAUACUUAAGACUAACACUCUUGAGAGUUGACGUUACCUACAGAAGAAGCACUGGCUAACUCUGUGCCAGCAGCCGCGGUAAUACAGAGAGUGCAAGCGUUAAUCGGAAUUACUGGGCGUAAAGCGCACGUAGGUGGAUACUUUAGUCGAAUGUGAAAGCCCUGGGCUUAACCUGGGAAUUGCAUCCGAUACUGGGUAUCUAGAGUAUGGUAGAGGGAAGUGGAAUUUCCGGUGUAGCGGUGAAAUGCGUAGAUAUCGGAAAGAACACCAGUGGCGAAAGCGGCUUCCUGGACCAAUACUGACACUAAGGUGCGAAAGCGUGGGGAGCAAACAGGAUUAGAGACCCUGGUAGUCCACGCUGUCAACGAUGAGAACUAGACGUUGGAGAGGUAACUCUUUAGUGUCGAAGCUAACGCGUUAAGUUCUCCGCCUGGGGAGUACGGCCGCAAGGUUAAAACUCAAAGGAAUUGACGGGGGCCCGCACAAGCGGUGGAGCAUGUGGUUUAAUUCGAUGCAACGCGAAGAACCUUACCUA
rnacentral:rRNA from 1 species